GGAUGCGAUCAUACCAGCACUAAAGCAGCGGAUCCCAUCAAAACUCCGAAGUUAAGCGUGCUUGGGCGAGAGUAGUACUAGGAUGGGUGACCUCCUGGGAAGUCCUCGUGUUGCAUUCC
rnacentral:rRNA from 1 species